GGGGUUGUAACUCAGUGGUAGAGUGUUCGCUUUGCAUGAGAAAAGCCCGGAGUUCAAUCCUCCGCAGCUCCA
rnacentral:tRNA from 1 species